UACGUAGGGGGCAAGCGUUGUCCGGAAUUAUUGGGCGUAAAGAGCGUGUAGGCGGUCCGGUAAGUCAGCUGUGAAAGUCAAGGGCUCAACCCUCGAAAGCCGGUUGAUACUGUCGGGCUAGAGUCCGGAAGAGGCGAGUGGAAUUCCCGGUGUAGCGGUGAAAUGCGCAGAUAUCGGGAGGAACACCAAUGGCGAAGGCAGCUCGCUGGGACGGUACUGACGCUGAGACGCGAAAGCGUGGGGAGCAAACAGG
rnacentral:rRNA from 1 species